CGGCAACAGCUCAAAUUUGAAAUCUGGCUUUCGGGCCCGAGUUGUAAUUUGUAGAGGAUACUUUUGAUGCGGUGCCUUCCGAGUUCCCUGGAACGGGACGUCAUAGAGGGUGAGAAUCCCGUCUG
rnacentral:rRNA from 1 species